GAUGAACGCUGGCGGCGUGCCUAAUACAUGCAAGUCGAGCGAACAGACGAGGAGCUUGCUCCUCUGACGUUAGCGGCGGACGGGUGAGUAACACGUGGAUAACCUACCUAUAAGACUGGGAUAACUUCGGGAAACCGGAGCUAAUACCGGAUAAUAUAUUGAACCGCAUGGUUCAAUAGUGAAAGACGGUUUUGCUGUCACUUAUAGAUGGAUCCGCGCCGCAUUAGCUAGUUGGUAAGGUAACGGCUUACCAAGGCAACGAUGCGUAGCCGACCUGAGAGGGUGAUCGGCCACACUGGAACUGAGACACGGUCCAGACUCCUACGGGAGGCAGCAGUAGGGAAUCUUCCGCAAUGGCGAAAGCCUGACGGAGCAACGCCGCGUGAGUGAUGAAGGUCUUCGGAUCGUAAAACUCUGUUAUUAGGGAAGAACAAAUGUGUAAGUAACUAUGCACGUCUUGACGGUACCUAAUCAGAAAGCCAUGGCUAACUACGUG
rnacentral:rRNA from 1 species